CUUCUCCUUCCUGAAGUCAACAAUCAGCUCUUCAGAAACAAGAGAGAAUCUGCAGAUGUUGGAAAUCCAAGCAACACGUACAAAAUGCUGAAGGAACUCAGCAGGCCCGCCAGUGUCUACAGGAAAAAAGUACAAUCGACGUUUCCGGCUGAGACCCUACAGCAGGACUGGAGAGACACAAAAGUCUGCAGAUACUGGAAUCAGGAGCAGCACACAAAAUCGUUGGAGGCGCUUGAUAGAUCAAAUAGCAUCAGUGGUGGAAAAUAGAGAGUUGACAUUUCAACACAAAACCCUUCAUCUGGUCUGAAAGACGGCGGGAAGAUAGCCAAUGUAAAAACAAACCGAAGAAGACUGGUGCAAGACCUGGCAGGCAACAUGUGCCUACUGCUGGAAUAUUAUACCCCAGAGUGUUGGUCUUCGAUCAAGGGUUCUUUUGAAGACCCGAAUUGGAGUUACACGCUGAUUAUGGUUCUUUGUGGGAAUAGGACCCGUUCUUAGGGUUUCACAACUGGCCACUGUUCAGCAUGCCAAGCGCCCGGCCUAAGAGCUCCACUCGCCUUCGGAGGAUCAAUUUUUUGUGGCUCUGGAGACGAGGGGAUCGGAGGUCGGUAUCCAAGCAGAAGACCAGUGUAUCGUGGGAGAUGGAAGGUCUAAGGCUGUGUGCUCAGAGACCCGAGACCUUUGGGCACACAGCUCAGAAAAAGCGACACAAUGGACUUUUAACAUUGUAAACCAGCAAGCUGUUUGUUAUAUCUCCCCUCUCGCUGUGAAACGGAGACACCUCUUUCUCCCUUAUUAGGGAGAGAGAGAGAGAGCCCGUGGUACAUCGAAUGCUGGGUGAACAAGUAAUCUUUGGAGUACUGCAAGUCUGUGUCUUUGCUGUUGCCUUGCUCAUGCUUGG